rnacentral:rRNA from 1 species
AUUGAACGCUGGCGGCAGGCCUAACACAUGCAAGUCGAGCGGAUGAAGGGAGCUUGCUCCUGGAUUCAGCGGCGGACGGGUGAGUAAUGCCUAGGAAUCUGCCUGGUAGUGGGGGAUAACGUCCGGAAACGGGCGCUAAUACCGCAUACGUCCUGAGGGAGAAAGUGGGGGAUCUUCGGACCUCACGCUAUCAGAUGAGCCUAGGUCGGAUUAGCUAGUUGGUGGGGUAAAGGCCUACCAAGGCGACGAUCCGUAACUGGUCUGAGAGGAUGAUCAGUCACACUGGAACUGAGACACGGUCCAGACUCCUACGGGAGGCAGCAGUGGGGAAUAUUGGGCAAUGGGCGAAAGCCUGAUCCAGCCAUGCCGCGUGUGUGAAGAAGGUCUUCGGAUUGUAAAACACUUUAAGUUGGGAGGAAGGGCAGUAAGUUAAUCCCUUGCUGUGUUGACGUUACCAACAGAAUAAGCCCCGGCUAACUUCGUG